rnacentral:rRNA from 1 species
AGUGAACGCUGGCGGUAGGCCUAACACAUGCAAGUCGAACGGCAGCACAGUAAGAGCUUGCUCUUACGGGUGGCGAGUGGCGGACGGGUGAGGAAUACAUCGGAAUCUACUUUUUCGUGGGGGAUAACGUAGGGAAACUUACGCUAAUACCGCAUACGGCCUACGGGUGAAAGCAGGGGAUCUUCGGACCUUGCGCGAUUGAAUGAGCCGAUGUCGGAUUAGCUAGUUGGCGGGGUAAAGGCCCACCAAGGCGACGAUCCGUAGCUGGUCUGAGAGGAUGAUCAGCCACACUGGAACUGAGACACGGUCCAGACUCCUACGGGAGGCAGCAGUGGGGAAUAUUGGACAAUGGGCGCAAGCCUGAUCCAGCCAUACCGCGUGGGUGAAGAAGGCCUUCGGGUUGUAAAGCCCUUUUGUUGGAAAGAAAAGCAGCAGGUUAAUACCCCGCUGUUCUGACGGUACCCAAAGAAUAAGCACCGGCUAACUUCGUG